UUCUAUGGUGGGCUGGGCGGGGGCACCGCAAGGUGCGCCGGUGUCCAGUAUGGCCGGUAAUGCCAAACCCGCUCAGUCUACCACCCGC
rnacentral:antisense_RNA from 1 species